CACUGGGAGCCCGCUAAAGAAAGAGGAGCAAAAGGAGACCUGAUGAUUUGGGCCAUUACAGAAAAACUAAUAAAGGUCAAAGUUGAACAUUAAAGAUAGCCGGAAUGCAGUUGGCUUAACUACUGGAUGGAACUGUUGCUAAAUAAUUGAAAGAAACUUUUGUCCGGACUGUAAGAAUGGCCUCCAAAAGACCUAUUGUGUCAAGCACAGGGAAGUCAAAGAUUCGCUGGGGUCACACUCAGU